AAGUCGUAACAAGGUCUCCGUAGGUGAACCUGCGGAGGGAUCAUUACCGAGUGAGGGCCCCCGCGCCCGACCUCCAACCCCAUUGUGACCCGACUCUGUUGCCUCGGGGGCGACCCGGCCUUCGGGCCCGGGGCCCCCGGCGGACCCCUCAACGCUGCAUCUUUGCGUCUGAGUCUGAUAUUCAAAUGAAAUCAAAACUUUCAACAACGGAUCUCUUGGUUCUG
rnacentral:misc_RNA from 1 species